AUCAGUGCGGAAGUGACACUUUCGGCUUUUCCCUUUUGCCCUUGCGCAUCUUUGGUGCUCUAUCGGAGAAGUAAACCUGAAGCAAAACCCAAAAGCGACACUCUCACUGCUCGACAGACAAAAAUGGCGACGACGACGCGGCAAAGGCGUCAGCAACCAUCAGAUCAACUGUCUCCGUCUGCAUACUCUAAACAUUCAAAGCCAUCUAAUACCGGCGGCGGCGGAGGCGGUAGUAUCGGCGGCUCAGACGGAGCUUUAGGAUGGGGAUUGCCAAUUUUUGCCCUAGGGAUGCUAAGAUACAUGAGCGCCACCUCCAAUAUCGUUCACGAUUGCGAUGAAGUCUUCAAUUACUGGGAACCGUUGCAUUUUCUCCUCUACAAGUCUGGUUUCCAGACUUGGGAGUACAGCUCUCAGUAUGCUCUGAGAUCGUACUUGUACAUCAUAUUCCAUGCUAUUGUGGGUGGACCAGCUUCUUUUUUGUUUGAGGACAAGGUGAAAGUAUUUUAUGCCGUGAGGCUCUUUUUAGGGCUUAUCUCUGUGGUCACAGAUGCAUUUCUUGUUGUAGCUCUUUCCAGGAAGUACGGGAAACGUCUUGGCUGUUACACCCUAGCAAUGCUAUGCUUAACCAGUGGAUGCUUCUUUGCUAGUACAAGUUUCUUGCCAAGCUCAUUCUCUAUGUAUGCUAUGUCCCUUGCAACCGCAUUGGCUCUUUUGGAGAAACCAGCUAUGGCAGUUGCUGUUUCAGCUGGUGGGGUUAUUCUUGGAUGGCCCUUCUCAGUGUUAGCUUUUCUGCCUGUUACAUUUUUCUCUUUGCGUAAGAGCUUGAAACGAGCAUUUGUGUCGGGAACGGUCAUUACUGUUGCGCUUCUGACUCUUUCAGCUGUUGUUGACCACUACUACUACAAAAGGUGGACAUCGUCCGUGUUAAAUCUGCUAUUGUAUAAUGUGCUGGGAGGUGGUGAAAGCCACUUGUAUGGGGUUGAAGGCCCACUGUUUUAUCUACGGAAUGGAUUCAAUAAUUUCAACUUCUGCUUUGUCCUUGCUUUGCUGUUUCCUGUGACACUGUUAGUGCGUACUUUACGGAGGAAGUAUGUCCCGGAGUUGUUAAUUAUCAUCUCACCUGUAUAUAUUUGGCUUGUAUUCAUGUCCUUGCAGCCACACAAGGAAGAAAGGUUUCUUUAUCCAAUCUAUCCACUAAUUUGUGUAGCUGCAUCAGCGUUUAUUGAAAGUAUGCCUGAUUUUUUCCGUGAUAGGUUCAACCCUAAUGAUAAUUCUGCGCUUGUGUUGAUAGCAAAAUUUAUCAGGCCACUGAUCCUUGGCUUUAUAUUAUGCGUCUCCCAUUCACGAUCUUUCUCCUUGACUCAUGGCUACUCAGCUCCUCUUGAGAUCUAUAAGCAUUUGCAGUAUCAUGAAGAUGCUGGAUAUGGUUCUACGCUCUGUGUUGGAAGUGAAUGGCACAGAUUUCCUUCUUCAUUUUUUAUCCCUGACUAUGUAGCUCAAGUGCGCUGGAUUGAUGAUGGAUUCCGGGGUCUUCUUCCUUUCCCAUUCAAUGCAACGCUCGGUGGAACCUCAGCAGCACCUUCUUAUUUUAAUAACAAAAACAAAGCAUCCGACAAACAAUAUCUCCAGGAUCUUGAAACCUGUACCUUGCUUGUUGAGCUUCACUUGAAACGUCCGUUUGCUUAUCGUGGUAGUGACUUGUCAACAUGGGAGGUUGUUGCGGCAGUGCCUUACUUGGAUAGAGAGUUCUCACCACCCUUGCAUCGGUCAUUCUUCAUACCAUACUUUUGGCAGGAAAGAAAUGUUUUCGGCUUGUAUAAGCUUCUUAGAAGAAUAUCAUGAUGAGUUACACUGCGGGAAGCGCCUGAUAUGUUCUAAGGCUUCUAACCCAGAGCAUAGGUACUUUUGACUAAACCUGAACAUGGUUUAAUGUGUAUGAACGAGGUUUUGCAUUUUUCAUAUAUUACAGAACUGAUGCAGAUUUUAUACGUAGUUCGGAAAAUGAUGAUCCAGGGAGAUACUUACAUUUGAUGGAAGGUGAAGUGCCAUGCUUGUUACUGUGGAGCAAAGAACUCUUUUUGGGAAUGGUAAAGAGCUUGGAUUUCGUCAGUGGAAUAAGUUCGGUCGUCUUGGUAAGCUUCCAUCUCUUUCUCCCUUCUUCCUGCAAAUGAAUGAUUUUGGUUUGAUGUACUUUUAACUUAAAAUGGAAGAUCAAAUUUGAAGUGCUAUUGGCAGCAAGAAAUGCCAAGUUUUAUUGGAAAACAAUGCAAUGUUAACCACACAUGUUGUUAGUCAGAAUUUGAAUUGGAUAGGGUGGCUUUUUGCACUUUUUGUACUAUGAUGGGCCAGUGGAUAUCACGUGAUGUGGCGAAAAACUAUAGGCUAAGCAUAUUCAUAUUCAUCCACCAACCUCAACAUUGUAUUUUCGUUAUAAACAUAUCCUACAAACUUUCAUUUUUUUUUAAAAAAGAUUUUUUAUUAUUUA